GAAGGAUCAUUACCGAGUGCGGGUCCUUCGGGGCCCAACCUCCCACCCGUGUCUACCGUACCGUGUUGCUUCGGCGGGCCCGCCGCAAGGCCGCCGGGGGGGCGUCCCCCCGGCCCGUGCCCGCCGGAGACCCUGUGAACGCUGAUCUGUGAAGGCGUGUCGUCUGAGUCGCGUGAGAAAUCGUGAAAACUUUCAACAACGGAUCUCUUGGUUCCGGCAUCGAUGAAGAACGCAGCGAAAUGCGAUAAGUAAUGUGAAUUGCAGAAUUCCGUGAAUCAUCGAAUCUUUGAACGCACAUUGCGCCCUCUGGUAUUCCGGGGGGCAUGCCUGUCCGAGCGUCAUUGCUGCCCUCAAGCACGGCUUGUGUGUUGGGCCGCCGUCCCCGCCCUCCGCGGGGGGACGGGCCCGAAAGGCAGCGGCGGCGCCGCGUCCGGUCCUCGAGCGUAUGGGGCUCUGUCACCCGCUCUGCAGGCCCGGCCGGCGCCCGCCGAGUCAACCACUUCUUUCCAGGUUGACCUCGGAUCAGGUAGGGAUACCCGCUGAACUUA
rnacentral:rRNA from 1 species